UGUCUAAGUAUCAUUAAGUGAAUACAUAGCUUAAUGAGGGGAACUCAGGGAACUGAAACAUCUAAGUACCUGAAGGAAGAGAAAGAAAUUCGAUUCCGUAAGUAGCGGCGAGCGAACGCGGAUUAGCCCAAACCAAUAAAGUUUUCUUUAUUGGGGUUGCGGACAUAUCAUAACGAAGAGGUAUCGUAAUUGAAGAGGUUUGGAAAGACCCACCACAGAAGGUAAUAGUCCUGUAUGUUAAACGAGAAGACUUUAGAUAUGAUCCAGAGUACCACGGGACACGUGAAACCCUGUGGGAAGCAGGAGGGACCACCCUCCAAGGCUAAAUACUACCUAGUGACCGAUAGCGUAUAGUACCGUGAGGGAAAGGUGAAAAGAACCCCGGGAGGGGAGUGAAAUAGAACCUGAAACCCUGCACUUACAAGCUGUGGAAGCACAUUUCUUGUGUGACCGCGUACUUUUUGUAGAACGGGCCAACGAGUUACGUUAAGUAGCAAGGUUAAGCACUUAAGGUGCGGAGCCGUAGCGAAAGCGAGUUUUAACUGAGCGUUCAGUUACUUGACGUAGACCCGAAACCGGGCGACCUACCCAUGAGCAGGAUGAAGCGAAAGUAAAAUUUCGUGGAGGUCCGAACCCAC
rnacentral:rRNA from 1 species